UGUCAUGUAGUCUAUUUCUCACUUACUGA
rnacentral:piRNA from 1 species